rnacentral:rRNA from 1 species
UAAAAGCCAUCUCAGUUCGGAUUGCAGGCUGCAACUCGCCUGCAUGAAGCUGGAAUUGCUAGUAAUCGCGGAUCAGCAAGCCGCGGUGAAUACGUUCCCGGGCCUUGUACACACCGCCCGUCACACCAUGAGAGUCGGGAACACCCGAAGUCCGUAGUCCAACCACGUGAGGACGCUGCCGAAGGUAGGAUUGGCGACUGGGGUGAAGUCGUAACAAGGUAUC